AUGCGUCCUGCCUUGGAGAGCAACCACAAGUGCCUCAUCAAGCUUGCUUUUCUCUGGCAAGAAGGAUUGACUGCCAUCACGAAUGAAUCAGUAAGUAUCCAAACUAGGAAGGUCAUGAUCAACUGACUACUUCAGAGGAAACAAAUGGUCAUCUAUGUCCUUCACCUGGGAAGGCAACCAUACCUAAGAUAGAAAUUCAGGACAAACUAGCCAAAAUGUACAAGACCACACUGAAUAUCAUCUAUGCAUUUGGAUUUAGAACUAAUUUUGGUGGUGGGAAAACAACUAGCUUUGGCAUAAUUUAUGAUUCCUUGGAUUAUGCAAAGAAAAGUAAACCCAAACAUAGACUUGAAAGACAUGGCCUGUGUGAGAAGAAAAAGACCUCAAAAAAACAAUGAAAGGAAUGCAAGAACAGAAUGAAGGAAGUUACGGGGACUGUAAAGGCCACUGUUGGUGGCAAAAGGUGGGCUGGAGAUUGGAUCACAGCCAAAGGAGUAAAGGGGCAGCAGUGAUGUUAUCUGCGGCCAUUGUGGAUUUUCUACAAGAAGAUUAAUAAACUAAAAACUCUCAUGUGAAAAAA